rnacentral:rRNA from 1 species
AGUCGAACGGCAGCACGGGAGCAAUCCUGGUGGCGAGUGGCGAACGGGUGAGUAAUACAUCGGAACGUGUCCUGGAGUGGGGGAUAGCCCGGCGAAAGCCGGAUUAAUACCGCAUACGCUCUAUGGAGGAAAGGGGGGGAUCUUCGGACCUCUCGCUCAAGGGGCGGCCGAUGGCAGAUUAGCUAGUUGGUGGGGUAAAGGCCUACCAAGGCGACGAUCUGUAGCUGGUCUGAGAGGACGACCAGCCACACUGGGACUGAGACACGGCCCAGACUCCUACGGGAGGCAGCAGUGGGGAAUUUUGGACAAUGGGGGCAACCCUGAUCCAGCAAUGCCGCGUGUGUGAAGAAGGCCUUCGGGUUGUAAAGCACUUUUGUCCGGAAAGAAAACCAUCGCCCUAAUAUGGUGGUGGGAUGACGGUACCGGAAGAAUAAGCACCGGCUAACUACGUGCCAGCAGCCGCGGUAAUACGUAGGGUGCAAGCGUUAAUCGGAAUUACUGGGCGUAAAGCGUGCGCAGGCGGUUCGCUAAGACCGAUGUGAAAUCCCCGGGCUUAACCUGGGAACUGCAUUGGUGACUGGCGGGCU